CACCAGGUGUAUUGAUGUGUAUACGUAUAUAGGUAUGACGUAUCUGCCAUGCGAAGAAGUUGCAUCAAUAAAGGAAGUGGGAGGCACUUGAUAACUAUAACGCAACUAUACCUAUUUGUUAUAGAAUACCAUACUUGUAUAGAUGGUAGAGUAUAGCAGUGCAGCAAAUUGAGUGUUUUUGUAAAAUAGGCGACAAAGGUGUUUUAAUAACAGUGUCGAAACAAUGUUGUCAUUUUUACCAAUACUGUUUAGUCUGUUUUUCGGAAUUAUACAGUUCACGAAUUCAAUGCAUCCACAGUUUUCUCUAUUUUGUCAACCAGGAACUCAGGUGAAGGUUUGUACUGCAGGGAUGUGCAACUCAACAAUAAACAAUUCAACCCAUUGCAAGCUCUUGCUUACAAUACUGAGUUGUCGGAAUACAUUCACGGUUCAAUUGAUACGGAAGUCCGCUACCUGUUCCACUGUAGUGAAUUCCAGUGAUGUUCAGACGUUAUUCAGUUCUUGUUUCUUUGAUUGCGCUUUGGCAGAGACA